UGGAAGCGUCUGGAAAGGCGCGCGAUACAGGGUGACAGCCCCGUACACAAAAGCGCAUAUGCUGUGAGCUCGAUGAGUAGGGCGGGACACGUGGUAUCCUGUCUGAAUAUGGGGGGACCAUCCUCCAAGGCUAAAUACUCCUGACUGACCGAUAGUGAACCAGUACCGUGAGGGAAAGGCGAAAAGAACCCCGGCGAGGGGAGUGAAAAAGAACCUGAAACCGUGUACGUACAAGCAGUGGGAGCCCCACCACUUUGGGAGUGGUGAACUGCACAUAUGUAUCAUGGGCUGAGGAUACUGUUAACGGAGCACAAGCGACGUGAAACCUGAAAAGAAGCAGAGGGAGCUCCCUGGGGGGGUGACUGCGUACCUUUUGUAUAAUGGGUCAGCGACUUAUAUUCUGUAGCAAGGUUAACCGAAUAGGGGAGCCGGAGGGAAACCGAGUCUUAACCGGGCGUUAAGUUGCAGGGUAUAGACCCGAAACCCGGUGAUCUAGCCAUGGGCAGGUUGAAGGUUGGGUAACACUAACUGGAGGACCGAACCGACUAAUGUUGAAAAAUUAGCGGAUGACCUGUGGCUGGGGGUGAAAGGCCAAUCAAACCGGGAGAUAGCUGGUUCUCCCCGAAAGCUAUUUAGGUAGCGCCUCGUGAAUUCAUCUCCGGGGGUAGAGCACUGUUUCGGCUAGGGGGCCAUCCCGGCUUACCAACCCGAUGCAAACUGCGAAUACCGGAGAAUGUUAUCACGGGAGACACACGGCGGGUGCUAACGUCCGUCGUGAAGAGGGAAACAACCCAGACCGCCAGCUAAGGUCCCAAAGUCAUGGUUAAGUGGGAAACGAUGUGGGAAGGCCCAGACAGCCAGGAUGUUGGCUUAGAAGCAGCCAUCAUUUAAAGAAAGCGUAAUAGCUCACUGGUCGAGUCGGCCUGCGCGGAAGAUGUAACGGGGCUAAACCAUGCACCGAAGCUGCGGCAGCGAACGUAUCACUUAAAGCGAUUCAGCGGGUUACGAUUGACGGAGCGAAGCGACGUCAAAGCGUAUACAAAGUCGAGUCGGUUUAAGGAUACGUUCGUUGGGUAGGGGAGCGUUCUGUAAGCCUGUGAAGGUGGCCUGUGAGGGUUGCUGGAGGUAUCAGAAGUGCGAAUGCUGACAUAAGUAACGAUAAAGCGGGUGAAAAGCCCGCUCGCCGGAAGACCAAGGGUUCCUGUCCAACGUUAAUCGGGGCAGGGUGAGUCGACCCCUAAGGCGAGGCCGAAAGGCGUAGUCGAUGGGAAACGGGUUAAUAUUCCCGUACUUGGUGUUACUGCGAAGGGGGGACGGAGAAGGCUAUGUUGGCCGGGCGACGGUUGUCCCGGUUUAAGCGUGUAGGUGUGUGUUCCAGGUAAAUCCGGUUCACUUUAACACUGAGGCGUGAUGACGAGGCACUACGGUGCUGAAGCAACAAAUGCCCUGCUUCCAGGAAAAGCCUCUAAGCAUCAGGUAACAUCAAAUCGUACCCCAAACCGACACAGGUGGUCAGGUAGAGAAUACCAAGGCGCUUGAGAGAACUCGGGUGAAGGAACUAGGCAAAAUGGUGCCGUAACUUCGGGAGAAGGCACGCUGACACGUAGGUGAAGUGAUUUACUCAUGGAGCUGAAGUCAGUCGAAGAUACCAGCUGGCUGCAACUGUUUAUUAAAAACACAGCACUGUGCAAACACGAAAGUGGACGUAUACGGUGUGACGCCUGCCCGGUGCCGGAAGGUUAAUUGAUGGGGUCAGCGCAAGCGAAGCUCCUGAUCGAAGCCCCGGUAAACGGCGGCCGUAACUAUAACGGUCCUAAGGUAGCGAAAUUCCUUGUCGGGUAAGUUCCGACCUGCACGAAUGGCGUAAUGAUGGCCAGGCUGUCUCCACCCGAGACUCAGUGAAAUUGAACUCGCUGUGAAGAUGCAGUGUACCCGCGGCAAGACGGAAAGACCCCGUGAACCUUUACUAUAGCUUGACACUGAACAUUGAGCCUUGAUGUGUAGGAUAGGUGGGAGGCUUUGAAGUGUGGACGCCAGUCUGCAUGGAGCCGACCUUGAAAUACCACCCUUUAAUGUUUGAUGUUCUAACGUGGACCCGUGAUCCGGGUUGCGGACAGUGUCUGGUGGGUAGUUUGACUGGGGCGGUCUCCUCCUAAAGAGUAACGGAGGAGCACGAAGGUUGGCUAAUCCUGGUCGGACAUCAGGAGGUUAGUGCAAUGGCAUAAGCCAGCUUGACUGCGAGCGUGACGGCGCGAGCAGGUGCGAAAGCAGGUCAUAGUGAUCCGGUGGUUCUGAAUGGAAGGGCCAUCGCUCAACGGAUAAAAGGUACUCCGGGGAUAACAGGCUGAUACCGCCCAAGAGUUCAUAUCGACGGCGGUGUUUGGCACCUCGAUGUCGGCUCAUCACAUCCUGGGGCUGAAGUAGGUCCCAAGGGUAUGGCUGUUCGCCAUUUAAAGUGGUACGCGAGCUGGGUUUAGAACGUCGUGAGACAGUUCGGUCCCUAUCUGCCGUGGGCGCUGGAGAACUGAGGGGGGCUGCUCCUAGUACGAGAGGACCGGAGUGGACGCAUCACUGGUGUUCGGGUUGUCAUGCCAAUGGCACUGCCCGGUAGCUAAAUGCGGAAGAGAUAAGUGCUGAAAGCAUCUAAGCACGAAACUUGCCCCGAGAUGAGUUCUCCCUGAGACUUAGAGUCUCCUGAAGGAACGUUGAAGACGACGACGUUGAUAGGCCGGGUGUGUAAGCGCAGCGAUGCGUUGAGCUAACCGGUACUAAUGAACCGUGAGGCUUAACCUUACAACGCCGAAG
rnacentral:rRNA from 1 species